rnacentral:tRNA from 1 species
GAGCUGGUAGCUCAGUUGGUUAGAGCACCACCAUAUAAAGGCAGAGGUCCUGGGUUCAAUCCCUGGCUGGUCCA